AGGACGAACGCUGGCGGCGUGCUUAACACAUGCAAGUCGAGCGGAAAGGCCCUUCGGGGUACUCGAGCGGCGAACGGGUGAGUAACACGUGAGCAACCUGCCCCUGGCUCUGGGAUAGCCUCCGGGAAAACGGGGAUUAAUACCGGACAUUCACUUCCUUCCGCAUGGUUGGUGGUGGAAAGUUUUUCGGCCGGGGAGGGGCUCGCGGUCUAUCAGCUUGUUGGCGGGGUAACGGCCCACCGAAGGCGACGACGGAUAG
rnacentral:rRNA from 1 species